GACGGAGGAUGCAAGCGUUAUCCGGAAUUAUUGGGCGUAAAGCGUGCGCAGGUGGCUGUUCAAGUCUGCUGUCAAAGCGCAGAGCUUAACUCUGUACAGGCGGUGGAAACUGAAGAGCUAGAGUAUGGUAGGGGUAGAGGGAAUUCCCGGUGUAGCGGUGAAAUGCGUAGAUAUCGGGAAGAACACCAGUGGCGAAAGCGCUCUACUGGGCCAGAACUGACACUGAGGGACGAAAGCGAGGGGAGCGAACGGG
rnacentral:rRNA from 1 species